GCAGUUGUACCCAAGUGGCUCAAGGGGCUCCCCUGCUAAGGGAGUAGCACGGUUAAACGUGGCUCGGGUUCAAAUCCCGACAACUGCGCCA
rnacentral:tRNA from 1 species